CAGCCGCCGCGGUAAUACGUAGGUGGCAAGCGUUGUCCGGAAUUAUUGGGCGUAAAGGGCUCGCAGGCGGUUUCUUAAGUCUGAUAUGAAAGCCCCCGGCUCAACCGGGGAGGGUCAUUGGAAGCUGGGAAACUUGAGUGCAGAAGAGGAGGGUGGAAUUCCACGUGUAGCGGUGAAAUGCGUAGAGAUGUGGAGGAACACCAGUGGCGAAGGCGACUCUCUGGUCUGUAACUGACGCUGAGGCGCGAAAGCGUGGGGAGCAAACAGGAUUAGAUACCCCAGUAGUCCCUGUCUCUUAUAC
rnacentral:rRNA from 1 species